rnacentral:rRNA from 1 species
UACGGAGGGUGCAAGCGUUAUCCGGAUUUAUUGGGUCUAAAGGGUCCGUAGGCGGAUCGUUAAGUCAGCGGUGAAAGCCCACAGCUCAACUGUGGAAUUGCCGUUGAUACUGGCGAUCUUGAGUGCAAGUGAAGUUGGCGGAAUGUGCGGUGUAGCGGUGAAAUGCUUAGAUAUCGCAUAGAACACCGAUUGCGAAGGCAGCUCACUACACGGCGAUUGACGCUGAGGCACGAAAGUGCGGGGAUCAAACAGG